rnacentral:rRNA from 1 species
GACAUAGGUCGCAAACGUUAUCCGGAAUUAUUGGGCGUAAAGGAUGCGUAGAUGGUUCAAUAAGUUACUGGUGGGAAAUCGAGGCUCAACCUCGUGGAAGUCAGUAAUACUGUUGAACUUGAGUGCAGGAGAGGUUAACGGAACUUUAUGUGGAGCGGUAAAAUGCGUAGAUAUAUGAAAGAACAUCAAUAUGGCGAAGGCAGUUAACUAUUCUGUUACUGACGGUGAGGCAUGAAAGCGUGGGGAGCAAAACGG